rnacentral:lncRNA from 1 species
GCAGGAGUAUCGCCCAAAGUCAAACCAGGCUAUAUAGUGAGACUGUCUCAGAGGCACCCAAAACAACAACCAACAAGUCCAUCUACUCAUGUUCCUGCUGGAUGAUUCCCCACCUCCAAACUUCCUCCGGUAUAUAAGGCUGAUAUAGCUCUUGGCCGGUGUCUGUGCUGACGACACUCAGCAUCCUACAGCUGGAGCCUGAUACCAUCAGCUGCCCAAGCUCUGGGAACCCUGACAAGCCAGGUGUGUGACACCAUCCCCAGUUUACAUGGCGCCCGGUGUGGAACCCAGGGUUUUGUGAAUGCCAGGCAAGCAAGCAUUCUACCAGUGGAACCCCAGCCUCAGCUGUUUGUUCUUGUGUGACUGUCUUGCUGCUAGAUUGAGGCCUUUGGGCUGUAAUAGAGAUCGAC